rnacentral:rRNA from 1 species
UACGUAGGGUGCGAGCGUUAAUCGGAAUUACUGGGCGUAAAGCGUGCGCAGGCGGCUUUGCAAGUCAGAUGUGAAAUCCCCGGGCUUAACCUGGGAACUGCAUUUGUGACUGCAAGGCUAGAGUGCGGCAGAGGGGGAUGGAAUUCCGCGUGUAGCAGUGAAAUGCGUAGAUAUGCGGAGGAACACCGAUGGCGAAGGCAAUCCCCUGGGCCUGCACUGACGCUCAUGCACGAAAGCGUGGGGAGCAAACAGG